CGGAGGGUGCAAACGUUGCUCGGAAUCAUUGGGCGUAAAGCGCGCGUAGGCGGCCCGCUAAGUCGAACGUGAAAUCCCCGAGCUCAACUCGGGAACUGCGUCCGAUACUGGCGGGCUUGAAUCCGGGAGAGGGAUGCGGAAUUCCAGGUGUAGCGGUGAAAUGCGUAGAUAUCUGGAGGAACACCGGUGGCGAAGGCGGCAUCCUGGACCGGCAUUGACGCUGAGGCGCGAAAGCUAGGGGAGCAAACGGGAUUAGAUACCCCGGUAGUCCUAGCCCUAAACGAUGAAUGCUUGGUGUGGCGGGUAUCGAUCCCUGCCGUGCCGAAGCUAACGCAUUAAGCAUUCCGCCUGGGGAGUACGGUCGCAAGGCUG
rnacentral:rRNA from 1 species